UUUUUUAAUUUUAAAUAAUUUACAAACAUGUUAACCUUAUCAAUGGUUAUCAAUUUUAUAAAAUAUUUAGAAAAAUAUUUUAGAAAAUUAUUAAAUCAUUUUAAUAAGUUUAAAUAAUUUACAAAUCAGUUAACAUUCAUAAACAUUUUCUAAACUCCUAUAAAUGAAGAGAAAUUCUUCCUUAUAAAUGGUUUUAUAAAUCUUUAUAACAUUUUUGUAGAUCUUUAAAUAAUUGAUUUGUAUACUAUUAUCUUUAUAUAUAAAGAAGACCUUGAAUCACUCUCAGGAGGUCCAGCUCAAAUGCCACGUCAUCAAUUUGUGCUCUGGUGAUGCAACACCUAUCCUCAUUAAUCAAAACGAUGUGCUCCAUUGUAUUUCCGUACGGGCUUUUUUUGUUUUGGCAAAGUUGGGCUUCGGUCCAUUUGUUGCUUCCUGCGAAUAUUAUCAGAAAGCGCUACCCCGCUAAACCUAAUCGUCUCCUUUGUUCAUCUGAUCUUGACUUCGGCGGCGAGAAUGACGAUUGAUCGUUCUCCUUCUCCCUGUAACGGAAUUCGACUUUAAUGGCAUUAAUACAGACGCCCAGUACGAGCCCUUCAAUGCGUCGUUCCGGCGGCGAGAUCUCUGCUAUAAAUAGGGUGUUUUUUUUUCUCUGAUUUGAAGGUCGGGAAGUGUUCAUCGGUUGUGGAGGCUAGGCACUAUAGGGUUUUUUCUCCGGGCCGCGAUCAGACUUAGCUGUUCUUCCUCUUCUCUAAGAAUGAAUCAUUUAAGGAUUGCUCUUGCUCCGCGUUUCGUAUUUGAAUAUAAUUUUUUUUCCCUGUAAUGGCAUCGCUACAAGUUCUAUAUCCAGCUUUGAUUUUGUUUCAUGAGUCAAUUUAUAUGGAUUGAGAAGGGAAACACAAGGAUUUAAUAUGUUGGUUAUUGAUUGUUUAAAUUAGUAAUACAAACAGGCGUUCUCUUCCAUCUCCUAUGCGCAGUACAAGAAACACCUUGGAAUCUCACAGUAACUUAUCUUUCUCUCUUCUUCAGUUUGAGAGAUAGGAUACACUUAAGAGGAUAUUCUAGAAACGUAUACCAUGUGAAGGAGAAGAUUCUGUAAAUUGCAACUUUUUUAACUCUUUGAAAGAGGUCAGCGAAACUUUUAUUUUUGUUAAUACUAAUGUAACAAUGCAUACUGUACCAUUAUAUUUCACAUUGUCGAACAUGUAAAGAUUUUGUUACCUUGCACAAGUGCUGAUUUUUCUUUACAAGUGUGUGGCUUUCUUCCACAUUUUAAUGUAUUACUAUCUUGGGACAAUACCGUUUACAUCUCUGUCAGCCACCAUUAUCACGAUUCCCUUAAGUUAAGUUAAAAAGGUUAUAAAAUUCUAUAAGCUGUGUUAGGUGUAUAACUGAUAAUGAUGGCGAAUGAUAUUGUGACCAAUUUGUCAUUUAUUCUGAAAUUGAUUGAAGAGGUUGCAGAAGCCAAAGGAUGAUUAUCUUUGACUAAACUUAUGUUUGCACCACUGGCAUGUGUUUGCUAACAAGUUUAUAUAAAGGCCAAACGACUUUUGUAGUUGCAGAUAUUAGAGACUGAUUACUGGUUAGAGAUCUAGGACGACGAGCACCAAAUCCCCACGAAAGAUGUUUUCUCUACAUAGCCGAAUAUGAAAAAAACUUUGUACUUAUUCUCUUUCUUAAUUUUCCAAAUGGGCUAUAAAUUUUCUGGGUUUGUUUGUUGUUCUAAAUAGUUGUAUCAUUUCGUAAGAAUUUUGGCGUAGAAGAUUAACAUUUAUAAUAUUUAAAACUUCAA